AACCCAUGUUGAGGACAUUUCUGCAGGAGAUCCUUGAACCUAUCCCAUGUAUCAAAGAAGAGACUCCAAUUCCAUUUGCACAAACAAAGAUAUCUCAUUCCCAAGCUU